rfam:[Eubacterium rectale] ATCC 33656 chromosome, complete genome.
UAACCAUUGCAUAAAGCAAUGCUGAACGCACAGAAGUCAGCAGAGGUCAUAGUAGCCGAGAGGUGAAGGAC